GACGGAAGGUGCAAGCGUUGCUCGGAAUCACUGGGCGUAAAGGGUGCGUAGGCGGCCGUGCAAGUCUGGCGUGAAAGCCCCGGGCUCAGCCCGGGAAGUGCGCUCGAAACUGCGCGGCUCGAGUGCCGGAGGGGAGAGUGGAAUUCCUGGUGUAGCGGUGAAAUGCGUAGAUAUCUGGAGGAACACCGGUGGCGAAGGCGGCAUCCUGGACCGGCAUUGACGCUGAGGCGCGAAAGCUAGGGGAGCAAACGGG
rnacentral:rRNA from 1 species